rnacentral:rRNA from 1 species
UGAGGAAUAUUGGUCAAUGGACGAGAGUCUGAACCAGCCAAGUAGCGUGAAGGAUGACUGCCCUAUGGGUUGUAAACUUCUUUUAUACGGGAAUAAAGUGAGGCACGUGUGCCUUUUUGUAUGUACCGUAUGAAUAAGGAUCGGCUAACUCCGUGCCAGCAGCCGCGGUAAUACGGAGGAUCCGAGCGUUAUCCGGAUUUAUUGGGUUUAAAGGGAGCGUAGGCGGACGCUUAAGUCAGUUGUGAAAGUUUGCGGCUCAACCGUAAAAUUGCAGUUGAUACUGGGUGUCUUGAGUACAGUAGAGGCAGGCGGAAUUCGUGGUGUAGCGGUGAAAUGCUUAGAUAUCACGAAGAACUCCGAUUGCGAAGGCAGCUUACUGGAUUGUAACUGACGCUGAUGCUCGAAAGUGUGGGUAUCAAACAGGAUUAGAUACCCUGGUAGUCCACACAGUAAACGAUGAAUACUCGCUGUUGGCGAUAUACGGUCAGCGGCCAAGCGAAAGCAUUAAGUAUUCCACCUGGGGAGUACGCCGGCAACGGUGAAACUCAAAGGAAUUGACGGGGGCCCGCACAAGCGGAGGAACAUGUGGUUUAAUUCGAUGAUACGCGAGGAACCUUACCCGGGCUUAAAUUGCAACUGACUGAACCGGAAACGGUUCCUUCUUCGGACAGUUGUGAAGGUGCUGCAUGGUUGUCGUCAGCUCGUGCCGUGAGGUGUCGGCUUAAGUGCCAUAACGAGCGCAACCCUUAUCGAUAGUUACUAGCAGGUCAUGCUGAGGACUCUAUUGAGACUGCCGUCGUAAGAUGUGAGGAAGGUGGGGAUGACGUCAAAUCAGCACGGCCCUUACGUCCGGGGCUACACACGUGUUACAAUGGGGGGUACAGAAGGCAGCUACACGGCGACGUGGUGCUAAUCCCGAAAGCCUCUCUCAGUUCGGAUUGGAGUCUGCAACCCGACUCCAUGAAGCUGGAUUCGCUAGUAAUCGCGCAUCAGCCGCGGCGCGGUGAAUACGUUCCC